ACGGGAGGCAGCAGUGGGGAAUAUUGCGCAAUGGGGGAAACCCUGACGCAGCAACGCCGCGUGAGUGAUGAAGUAUUUCGGUAUGUAAAGCUCUAUCAGCAGGGACGAAAACGACGGUACCUGCAGAAGAAGUCCCGGCUAACUACGUGCCAGCAGCCGCGGUAAUACGUAGGGGACAAGCGUUAUCCGGAUUUACUGGGUGUAAAGGGUGCGUAGGCGGCUAAGCAAGUCAGAAGUGAAAGCCCGCGGCUCAACUGCGGGACUGCUUUUGAAACUGUUUGGCUAGAGUACUGGAGGGGCAAGCGGAAUUCCUGGUGUAGCGGUGAAAUGCGUAGAUAUCAGGAAGAACACCGGAGGCGAAGGCGGCUUGCUGGACAGAGACUGACGCUGAGGCACGAAGGCGUGGGGAGCAAACAGGAUUAGAUACCCUGGUA
rnacentral:rRNA from 1 species